CGGUGAAUACGUUCCCGGGUCUUGUACACACCGCCCGUCGAGCCAUGGAAGCUGGGUGUACCUAAAGUCGAUAACCGCAAGGAGUCGCCUAGGGUAAAACUAGUAACUGGGGCU
rnacentral:rRNA from 1 species